rnacentral:tRNA from 2 species
CGGGAUGUAGUACACCGGUAGUAUUUGCGAUUCGGGUUCGCAAGAACCGGGUUCGAUUCCCGGCAUCCCGACCA